ensembl:lncRNA
UUUUUUUUUUUUUUUUUUUGUCUUUUUGCCUUUUCUAGGGCCGAUCCCACAGCAUAUGGAGGUUCCCAGGCUAGGGGUCAAAUUGGAGCUGUAGUUACUGGCCUACACCACAGCCACAGCAACGUGGGAUCUGAGCCGAGUCUGCCACCUACACCACAGCUCACGGCAAAGCCAGAUCCUUAACCCACUGAUUGCGGCCAGGGAUUGAAUCCGAAACCUCAUGGUUCCUAGUCAGAUUCGUUAACCACUGAGCCACAACGGGAACUCCUAUCUCACCUAUUUUUAAUUAUACCUUGGCAUAUUUUAUAUAUCACCAUAAACUGCCUUAAAUUUCUUUUAGAAAAAAAAAAGCUAGACAUUAACGAAUUAAUUUUUAUGGAAUUAUUUAUUUUUCUUUUCUUAGGCGGCACCAGCAGCAAAUGUUAUUCCCAGGCCAGGGAUCAAAUCCAAGCCACAUCUGUGACCUAUGCCACAAUUGUGGCAAUGCCAGAUCCUUAACCCACUGCUCCCAGCCAGGGAUCAAAUGGGUAAUGCCACAGAGUCAAGCCAGAUCAUUAAUCCACUGCACCACAGCAGGAACUCUUAAUGAAUUAAUUUUUUAAAAGUCAGAGUCACUGACAGGGACAACUAUGUUGAUUAAUUUCAUAUAUGGAAAUCUCUAUGACCAAGUAGUUAAAUAAAACACUGAAAUUUAAAAGUCAAAAUAUGGGAGUUCCUGUUGUGGUGCAGCAGAAACAAAUCCGACUAGUAUCCAUGAGGAUGCGGGUUCGAUCCCUGGCCUCACUCAGUGGGUGGGGGAUCUGGCAUUGCUGUGAGCUGUGGUGUAGUUCGCACACUCGGCUUGGAUCCUGCAUUGCUGUGGCUGUGGCUUAGGCCAGCAGCUCUACCUCCAAUUCGACCUCUAGCCUGGGAACUUCCAUAUGCCAUGGGUGUGCCCUAAGAAAAAAAAGUAAAAGUCAAAAUAUGAAAGUGAAUUUUUUACAUUGGCAUGGGCUCCAACUGAAAUUCAGGUGAUACAGCCUAGCAUCAUGUUCAGAUUCCCUAGUCUACAUUAGUGUGCUCAUUUAGUAUAAAUAGAAUAAUUAAGAGUAUGCUAGAAUCAUUGAUUCUAUGUAUGAAUCCCCGAAAUGGAUUAGGAGCCUGUGUGGAGGACCAGGAAUAAGGUAAUGGAGUUUGGACUUUGUUACAUAAGCGAAACCAUUGAGAAGGCUUUUGAGCAAGGAGUGACAAAUUUUAGGAAGAUUUGGAGUGCCAGGCAACGUGUGAGUGAGAGAGGUGAUGGGACGAGGGUGGAGAAUGAGGAAAGAGAGCCCUAAAUAAGGGCUUUAGGGAAAACUGUAACUAUUCCGGAUCCUUUGACUGAAUUGUCUAGCAACACUAAGCUGGGGCCAAAAAGUUGCCCUUUAAAACAAAAAUAUUGUAGCCCACAGCUCAUGCAGCUUGAUAAUAUGUAAUUCAGCCACGGUAAUGUUUUACCCCAAGCGAAAACAUGCUCUUUGAAGAUCUAAAAUUUAGUCUCUGGAAUUAAUUUAAUCAGCUGUACUAAACAAUUUAAAAGGCACCCUUCUUGUAGCAUGCUGGGCUGAAACUAAUUAUUUAUACAGUGAACUGGAACCUGUUGAGAAAAACUUGCAGAGGUCACAAGUACCCAAAGAACACAAGUGAUGCGUGGGAAAACUGAUUUGCAAUAUCCAAAUUCAGUUUCCUUUUAAUUCGAUAAAGGACUUGUUUGUUCCCAAUAACUAACAGAUCAGGUAUUUCUGCCCAAUACCACCUGUAUCAGAAGCAAAGGUGCUGCUGCUGUCAUACUUCAGCAAGAUGUGUUUGGUAUCUAAUUCUUCCUUUGUAUUUUCAUCACUAACUCCCAAUUUCAGGGCCUUGAGACUUUAAUAGGUGGAUUCAGUAACCCUAACUGGUCUUCCUGUCCAAUCUCCUGUCAGCGAAUUUAAUGCACCCUGUACCUGGCUCUGCAAUCAAAUCUUCCAAAAAUACCACCGAGAUUGUGUCACUCCUUUGCUCAAAAACCUUCCAAAUGAUUUUUUGUUUACGCAGCAAAGUCCAAACUGCAUAAGCUUAUAUUCAUGGUUCUGUGCCAUGUAUUCCUCACCCACUUUUCCAGCCUUAUCUAUAAUAUCUCAUUCUCCCAAAGUCACCAUGCUAGUCAAACUGGUCUUUGGUUUCUCCUAAACACUCCCUCUAAUCUCCCCAACUCUCAUACUUUGCUCCCCUUAUCCUCCUUCUCUGGGAGGCCCUCCUCACACGCCUCUUUUCCAAAUCCAUCCAAUCCAUGGAGAUUCAGCUCAACUCCCUGCAGGAAGAAGCCUUCCCAGACCAUUGGGCACAUAAUAGGGUGAUGUGCUUUCUUGUCCAUGACUUGACUUCUCGUGGCAUCAAAGUCUCAAUAGAUUAUUUUACAUGGAUUAUUGAGUUUGCAAAAGGGUGAAAUCUUCUCUUUACAACAAAUAGGUAAGAUUCCCAAAGGUAAGCUCUCUUUAGUAUGACUUUCAUCACGUAAAGAAAGAAAAAUCUCUAAUACUUAGGUAAGUAUACUCAAGAGGUUAAGAAAGUUCUUCCCUGGAAUAGUUUUUAAGUGAGGACAUACUACUGACACUGGUUCCAGAAGGGAUUUACAGCAGCUCACAAGACUGCAGAAACUCAGCAAGUUAGCAAGUACAGCUUAUGGAAUCUUUCCCCCUACCAUGAACAUAAUGCAGCUACAGGUACUGCAAAGGUUUACAGAGACAAGACGGAUCCUUGAGUAUCUGCCCUCAAGAAGUUCUAAAUCUAAGACGCUCUCUCAAGCCCUCCAGUUCCAGUUUCAGUUCCUGUAAUAUCUUUCAGGUACAAGGAAUGGCAUGAAGAAAAGAGGCAGACUCCUACUUGGAGUAAUGCUGAAGUGUCUCAGUCUGAAGAGCAGUGAUUUCCCCAGGGAUCUGAGAUUACUUAUGUUCUUAUCUGUAGCACCAAUAUAGCACUGCUCUUAAUUUCUCUUGGACACAGAUAAACAAAAAAUUUUCCACUUUCAUUUCCAGGGAUGUGGGAGCCAAUUGGAACCCCAUUUAUUUUUUUCAUUUAUAUUUUUAUUACUUUAAUAAAUAAAGAUAAUUGUCCUAAAAUGGAAAAUGUUUUAGUAAGACUUGCUGUUGUGGUCAAGUCAAAAUUGUAUUUGCAAAGUGGGAACAGGCGUCCAGGAGUCAAAUAUUACAACACAGCAUGUGUGCCUCUGUCACUAAGGAGACUGAGUGUAGGAAGACGGAUGAGUAAUCAUAAAUCUCUAUGUUACUGGAAAAAUCUCUAACCACCCAUCCUUUGCCAACGGAAAGCCAGUAGGUCUCCCUGCCUUGCCUUUUGUGGAACAGGAUGACCUCAACACUUGCCAGCAAAGGAAUGUUUUUAGAUAAGGUACCUACAAAGAGAGCUUAGAGUAUCUGCCAAAGAGAUUUUGACAAGUGGUGGUGUUUUUCUAGAACCACUUCCAUAAUCCUAAAGUGCCCCUCAGAAACCAGAAAAGCCUAGGAACCAGAAAGCACUGGUCUUGAAGUCUACCGUUAUACCAUCUGGAAUCUGUGAAGAGUAGCCUGGCCCUGGGAUAUGAAAUAAAACACAGAUACUGCUUGUGUUAAGCCAACGACCUCAUAAAUAAGAAUGUAAUAAAUGGGCUGAAGUGAUUUAAUCCUUAUUGCCAUUUGGGGUUUGAUUAUCAAGCCAAGCCAAACCGAGUCAAAAAAUUAGAUGGGUGUGUUGGCGGACCAGCUGUAUAUUAAAAAACAACCACCGCAAUGUACAUUUCAGCCCCUGCUGAGAAAGCAAUAACACU